rnacentral:rRNA from 1 species
GACGAACGCUGGCGGCGUGCUUAACACAUGCAAGUCGAACGGAAAGGCCCUGCUUUUGUGGGGUGCUCGAGUGGCGAACGGGUGAGUAACACGUGAGUAACCUGCCCUUGACUUUGGGAUAACUUCAGGAAAAUGGGGCUAAUACCGGAUAGGAGCUCCUGCUGCAUGGUGGGGGUUGGAAAGUUUCGGCGGUUGGGGAUGGACUCGCGGCUUAUCAGCUUGUUGGUGGGGUAGUGGCUUACCAAGGCUUUGACGGGUAGCCGGCCUGAGAGGGUGACCGGCCACAUUGGGACUGAGAUACGGCCCAGACUCCUACGGGAGGCAGCAGUGGGGAAUAUUGCACAAUGGGCGGAAGCCUGAUGCAGCAACGCCGCGUGCGGGAUGACGGCCUUCGGGUUGUAAACCGCUUUCGCCUGUGACGAGGCGUGAGUGACGGUAAUGGGUAAAGAAGCACCGGCUAACUACGUG